UAAUGAACAUAACACGGAGCAAAAUAACACAAAUAAUUAUGAUUCUAAUCAUUGUAAUUCACGAAUAUAUGGAUACUAUAUCGAAUAAACGACUCUUUUAAGAGGAUGGAAUCUCUCCUGUAUGCGGUAAAUCGAAGAGAUCCGAUGCUAACCGCUAAAGUGAAGACUAUUUUGCUGAGAGGAGAUGUUGCUAUGCGUGGCGUAGUACGACACGGUGAUGGGCAGCAAGUGGCGGACGUCCGGGGCGGGCUGCGACGACAGAUUGAGCUCCACCGAGUCCCUCACGACCCAGAAGGGCUCCUCGGGCAUCUGGUGCUCGUAGAAGAUCACUCCUGACUCCAGCUGAGGAUGAGGCAGGUUUUCCACUGCACGGCUGCUUGUCUCGACUCCUCACCUGGAAACACCAUCAGCUCCUCUUGCGUUACCAUGGAGAUGGUGAGGGGCCUGGCCGUGACCACGAACCUGUAGAGAGGAGACGUGUGCUGGCCGUCCGUCACCGUGAAGCUGAAGCCGCCGGACUCCUCGCCUGCAGACAAACACAUUUUAACCACGUGACUCGCCGACGCACGCAAGCGUCUCGACCCUCAUCCCCCCCUCACCCUCGUGGAUGAAGAUGAUCUCCCCCUUGUCGAUUUGGGCCUGCGUGAAGUUGGCAAUGGCCUCCUCCGGGAACUCCUUGAACGCCGCCAUGCCGCCGGUGGUGGCCUCCAGGUUGUAGACCAACGCCUCCGUGGGGGUGUCGGCGUCCUCUGUGGUUAACAUGCUGGACGUGAUGUCGGCCUCCUCGCCGGGGAGCACCUGGGAGCGAAGAUGACACGAUGGAUGCCACAACAUUAGGUACCCCAGAACACUCUCACAUCAACCAAUACAACAACUGAUAUUUAUAGACCUUAUAAGGUUUUACGAUCAUUUUAUUCUUAUGGUUGUAGUUUGUUCAUAACUCAGGGCUGUUUCCGAUAACUUCACCCUCUCAUUUAGCUUUUAAACAUGGAUAACAAAAUAUUACCAACACCUUUCAGUACAUGAUAAAAUGGAAAAGCAACUGACUAAAACAAAUGUUCUGAUUCUUCCUGGUGACAUCACUUGUUGCUAGGCAGAAUCCAUAGUGCACAUUGAUUGGUGCCCCAAAGAGGUGUUUUUGAGACAAAAGUUUGCAUGCCAAUCACUCUCGCUAUACUGUUUCCACGGCAACUUGGUCUGCAGAGAAAUAGAACAAGUCAUAUAUUUAAUUUGAUGUAUUGCUCUGUUCUAACACUAAUCAUUACCAUAACUUUAUAUAUUGAACAUAUUUUUAUUAUUGGAUGCAUUCAAAUAUAAAACAAGUUAUUUUAAUGAAAGCACUAAAAAUAGAAAACAAUUUGGAUUAUUAAGUGAACAUUUUUAACCGGUGUAUUAUCGCAGCCAAUCAAGUUUUCACUCACAUUCAUGAAAAGAGCAACAACAAGAAGCAUGUUUUUUUUUUUAUCUCCAGGGAGAAAAAAAAAAUCGUUCCUGCUAGACGAGCAAAAAAAAAAAUAAAAAAAAAUCAAUGCUUCCCUGGCCGACGCUAAUCUGAGAGACAGCAAGCAGCGAGCAACCUCAAAGCGUGGACUGCCAAGUCUUGAAAGUCAGGAAAAGGUGGUUGGGGUCAAACUCACAAAAGGCAAAAUAUUGCAGUAAAAUGAUGUCUCUGUAGUUUCUCUUUUGGAGUCAAUUCUUGGUAUACAGAUGGGGAAUGAAAAUGCCGAACGCAGGGAAAUGCAUCGAUAUUGUUUUUCAGAUAAUUGCAUAAUGUUUUAAUGGAGAUUUAGAAAAUAUUUGAUAUAUUUUUUCAUACUUAAAAAAACCCAAAACAUU